GCUGGGUGUGGUGGCGCACGCCUGUAAUCCCAGCUACUCAGGAGGCUGAGGCAGAAGAAUUGCUUGGACCCAGGAGGCAGAGGUUGCAGUGAGCCAAUAUCAUGCCACUGCACUCCAGCCUGAGUGACAGAGCAAGACUCCAUCUCAA
rnacentral:SRP_RNA from 1 species